rnacentral:SRP_RNA from 1 species
UUAUUGACUAGGCUGGGAAUUUAGUCCUAUUCCUGUAACCGCAAACGGACUUUAGGCGGGGUCGAAGCCGGAAGGGCGAGGAUAGAAUUGAGGAGUAAUCUUGAUUCAAACUAAGACGCUUUGUCCUGUUCGGUCGGUUUUUGGAUGAACUAAGUCAGGCCAGGAAUGGAGCAGCUUUAAAUUCAUCAAUUGGCGCUUACAGGGUAGCAGAGCUGAGAAUGUUUCAAGGCCAAAUUGUUUCUUAGUUUUAUUUUCCACCUUUUGGCGUGUCACUUU